UAACAAAACUCGUGAGCGCGAAUAUGUC
rnacentral:sRNA from 1 species